UAAAUUAUUUAAUUCUACUUAUAAGGAAAUUUUCAUAGGAUAAUACUUGCUCAUUUUAUUGAUCCUUCAAGUAUUUAUAAGCUAUUACACGGGUACAAAGGCAGAAAGGAUGAUCCUUAGCCAUUCCCAAGAUGACAAAAAGCAUAACAGAAUUGCUAAUCCACUAAUAACAGAAUUCCAUUAAUAGUUUCUCUAGCUGAUUUUGCAAGCGGUACUAAGACCUUCAAGGUAGAUGGGCCUCCUGAUUGCCCUCUUGGGCCUGCUGUAGCUUCUUCCUAUCAGGUGGCCUAUAAAAAGCCUUCAUAAACACUCAAAAAGGAGUCCGAGGAAAAAAAGAUCAUAGGCAGAUAACAAAAAAAAAAAAAAAAAAACUUCUCACGCAUCUAUUUUUCGGAUCAAUUGGUAAUUGUGUGUGCUGAUGCUUGAUGAUAAUCUCCUUUGACGGUUAAGACAUCGUCGUCUUCGUUCAGACUCCAAAGACACACAGAGAAAGAUCAAUAAAAGUUUUAAAAUAGUUAGAAGGUAGCCUUACUUGUUUU
rnacentral:lncRNA from 1 species